CUCUGGAACCAUUUCAGAUCCGUCGAUUCUGGUUCAAACCCUCGCUGGGGGCUCAAUCUCCAUGGCAGCGCUCUAAUCCAAACUGAAGAAAAUCUUCAAAAACAGGAAAGAAAAUAUACAAAAAAUUUGGAAAAGAAAUUAGUGCCUCUACUGCUCGUUGACGGAGAAUUUCAGUCUAAAUCUUCUUUACGGUUCAUCAUUUUGUUCUAUAGAUCUUCACCCCACUGAAGAACUUCAUACAUAAUUUCGAUUCGCAGAUCGAGUCAUCUCUGGUACGAUUUGGAUCUGGCGUGGAAGAGAUAAACUAGGGCUGUCUCAAAGGUUGUGACUUUUUAGUAUAGUUAUCAGCCUUGUGUUGAGUUGUAGAAGUUGGAUCUACUGGGAGAAACUGAAAUUGUGUCUUAACUUAUAACUGGAUACAUACUUUGACUUAAAAAGUUAUUUAGCUAUGGAAGCAGUGAUUGUUGUUGAGCAGCAUAGGAACCAAUAUUAUGGUCGGAUCGAGCCGCAUGGACCAGCUCGAUUUGAAUCACCCCCUUCCCGGGACUUCAGAGGGAUGAACUGUAGGAGUUUCCAGUCGGGAGCUGGUAUCCUCCCAACUCCCUUGAAGGCUUGUAUCUCUGGAACUAAACAUGUGUACCCUUCUUCCCCCAAGACACCCCCAACUUGUUUAAGUUCCAACGCCGGAAAUGGCAAACAACUUGCUAGUGUGAAAAGUGCUCCAAUUCCCAUCACUGCCAAAUUUUCAAACAAGAACAGUGCUUUGCAUGAAGAGUUUUAUGACCGAAAUUUCUCAUUCUCUGAGCUUUGGGCUGGACCCACUUACUCAAAUUCACCCCCACCAAGUUCAUUACCCAUUCCCAAAUUUUCAGUUGCUAAGAGAACCAAGUCACUGGAGUUGCCUCGUUCUGCACCUGAAUUUGAAAUGCAUCGUCCAUCUGCCAAGUCUGCACCACCAUCCCCAACUCGGGAGCAUGAGUCUUCCUCCAGGUUUAUCUUUCACAGUGCUGACUCUGCGACUAAGACACUACGUCGCAUUCUUAAUCUUGAUGUCGACAAUGAAUGAACUCCAGGGAGCAUCAAGCUCCUGUAAAGAGGCUUACUUUGUAAGCCAGGUAGUUUCAGUUUGUAUAUAGAAUGAAUAAAUUGGUUAGUGAGGACAGUCUCAAGUAUCCUUCGUUUUCAGUGCUGGCGUAUAUCCUUCGAUCGCAGCUACGGGCUCUUAUGCUUUCAAUUAAUAUUCAGAUGUUGCACCCUAGUAUGUGCUUAGAUGCACAACUCAACUUGGUCUUAGCGGACGAAGACAAGAUAGGGUGUGAUAGCAACACAGAUUAAAUCAAGAUACUGGGAAGGCAGAAAUAGGUUGUUUGUGAACUUUAGUGUUGCAGUGAAUGAAACCUUAAUUCUGCACUGCAUGAAUCUGCUGGCUAUUAUAUAUCGAGUUUCAUAUGAACAUUUCUAGUAAUCAUGGAUCUGCUGGCUAUUAUCUCUGUUCUGGCUAUCAUGCCCUGACCAGAUUCUUAGCCUCUAUUCUAUUCUAGAGUUUAGGUUGUCGCGUAAUUUGUAUCAUACUUUAGGAACCCAAACUAAUGCUUGUUUAAGUUCAGUAGGUUUCUGUUUCAUUCUUUCCAUCCAUUCCCCGCAUAUCCUCUGUUCUUGCUGCUAUCCUUCUUACAUAGAUAGUUUGAUGACUUAUUAGUUAGGUUCUUUAACCCUGAUGAAAUGGUUACUCGACAGUUAAAUCUCUCUUUUUCUUAAUAUCCUCGAUCCUUUUCGUUUUCUCUUACCUCAUCUACAUCUUAUAGCCUCUCACUCCCUUCCUUUUCCUCAUACCCCAUCUAAAUCUUAUAGCCCCUCGCUUCUUUUCCUGUGCACUAUGAAGGAGAUAUUCCUUCUCUACUGCCUUUUCAGUUUUUUGAAAGAAAAGGUGGGAAUAGGAUAGUGAUAGUAUGACUUUCUAGUUUGCUUCUUUGGAAUUACUGUGUAGCACUUUCCUGUGUCCAGUGCCGCAUCGUUUUGUCAUCUAUGUAGUAUGAAACUGGUUCUUGCAAGGUUCGUCGUUGUCCUUCCAGGAGAUCAUUGAUCACACGGAGCGGUAUAUGCGAAACCUAAGGGUGAACAGUUCAGGUGAUGGUUUCAGUGGCAUGGUUGGUCGGUCUGCUGUGGACGUAGUUGGUCACGAGGGAGUAUUCGUCUUAGAAGAGCCUGGGUCCAGUUUGUGUUUGUGUUUGUGUUUAUCCUUGUAUUGAAAGCUGUACACUUUGAGAGUCCUACUGUGGAUCGUUGGAGCCUUUUGUUUUGUUUUCUUUGCAUAUCAGUUCGGAUAGUAAUUGCCUUCUUUCUGUUUUGAAUGGCCUAUGGUCAUUGGCAUUUCCAGAAAGUGAAGCAAUACUGUAAUGUUAUUGUUAUUGUCGUUUGUUGGCUACUUUAUUAUGUAUGAAUGGUGUGUGUUUGUGCAAGCUUUCUAAACAA